rnacentral:rRNA from 1 species
UACGGAGGGUGCAAGCGUUAAUCGGAAUUACUGGGCGUAAAGCGCACGCAGGUGGCUGAGUCAGUCGAUUGUGAAAUCCCCGGGCUUAACCUGGGAACUGCAGUCGAGACUGUCUAGCUAGAGUAUGGGAGAGGGAAGUGGAAUUUCAGGUGUAGCGGUGAAAUGCGUAGAUAUCUGAAGGAACAUCAGUGGCGAAAGCGACUUCCUGGACCAAUACUGACGCUCAUGUGCGAAAGCGUGGGGAGCAAACAGG